rnacentral:tRNA from 2 species
AGUCAAUGAUCUUGAAUAAGAAUAUAUUUUGAAAAUAUAAAAUAAAAUUAAAAAAUUUUAUUGACUU